UACCCCCUGCCGUGUACGUGAUUGGCUCGAUGUGGCUUUGACCCAAUUCACAGAAAACGGGAGCCUCCGCUUGUUCUGGUGUGCAUGUUCUACUGGAUAGAAAAGCCUGAAGGAACUAUUGAGGCGCCCACGUAAUUAACCUGGUUCAAGGACCCUUCAACACGGCACAAGGUGGGGGGUAC
rnacentral:other from 1 species